CCCCUCCCCAUCACCCUGGCCCUGCAAGGUAGAAGAUAGGUCUGCAGCACCACAUGCCGCAUGUCCAUGCCUGUCUGGGUGCAGCCAUUAAUGCCAUUAUUCACAUUAAAAAAUGGUCUUAGCCUUGGUAAAUCCCAAUGGUUAUAUUAAAGUCUUUGGAGAACAUUUCCAUUUAGUCCUGUCUGUUUCCGGCAUUGUCUUUAGGAGGGCAGCACAUUCAAAUCCAGUCCUAGCAAGACUUUGCUUCCUAGUUCACAUCUUAAUGUUUGCUCAAAUGUUCCUGUAUUCCUGUUAGAUAAUGUUUCUGAAUUGUUUUAUGUAGGAGGAACUCUGCUGGCCCCUGAGAUUCCUGGGCAGGGCAGAUUUCCAAUGUCUGCCUCUAACUUGCCAACUCUCUCCUCUUCUUGAUGUGCCAUUCAGUUAGGAAGUGACAAAAAGAUUUCAUUGGCACAUAGAGAUGGAAUCCAUCACUAGCCUGAAAGAGUUUCUUCCUCUUCCAUUCUGGGACUUCAAGCAGGCCCUUCCAUCUCUGCUGCCGAAAGACAUCCGCUCAAGACUGUUGAACAAGCCUGAAGACCAUUGAAAAAGGCCCUUGUAUGACGUUCACAAGUCAGCCUAAACUACUUAGUAAGGAAGAAGAGUGGAACAUGAGAGAGACAAAAUCAAGGAGGAAGAGGGCAUGGUCAUGCAUUUCUUUGAGCAGCGGAAAGAGGAGUAGGACCAAGCACAGCCCACCAAACUGCAGCCCCAGCUCCUGCAGCAGCAUUAAGUGCUGGACUCUUAAAGCCACUGCAGUAUUCAGGGCUGGGUGGGCUGUAUAUUACUCCAGAAAUUGCCCCUUGAAUUCACUCCAGUGUUUCUGACGUAAGGAGCUCAUGCCAGAUACCCAAUUCUAUUAUUAGUGAAGAUGUUUUGCUUGCACUUUAACUGGCAUAGUUUUGCACUUAGUUUUCUUUGUAUGUUGAAGGAAACUAGUAUGCUUAUAAUUUUUUUAAGUCUUUAUUUUAAUACUAUUUUUGCUUUGUUAAUAAAUGUAUUUGGUUAUAAAAC